ensembl:lncRNA
CCAGACAUGGCUAAUAACGUCAGAGUCAAAGACCGGAUAGUGCUGGUCUACCAAGUGAUAACCAGGUCACUAAUAGGCAAGUUAAUUAAUACCGUUGCUACACUUUAAAAAACAAAACAGGUUAGCUGUACGAAAGCACCUAUACUGAGAACAACCAAUACAUGUCAUCGUCCCAGAAUGCAACAAAGAUUUAAUGAAUAACAAAAAAAUUGUAGUUAUUCUCAAGUAUGUUUUUUAGGUAGUGGAGAUAAUUUGUAACAUAUUUAGAGUAACUUGUCAUAAUAGUCGGGGUUCCUUUUAAGAGGUCUUGAGAGGUCUUUUAAAAUUCUCCUCUGCCAUUUGUCCUCAGCAGAUGGCGCUGUUGGUUAAAAAAAAAUCCUCCCACUUCGCUGUUCCCUCACGUCGCCUGACUACACUUGGAAAAGAAAACUGAGCUUAGAAUAGAAACAUAUUAACAGGUGCCUGCAGACUACCUAGCUUCAGGCAGACAUCUUCUCCGAGGCUGUCGGUUUGCAGGUUACACGAUGGAUUACGACCAAAGAUACAAAAGGAACCAGGUUAACCCCGAGGGAAACCAAAACACCAGACACCCGAGACAGAGCGCAUCAGAUGUGUGUGGACAGGAUCAAACACUUCCAAAUCCAAAUGUUCACGGAAAUCCACAAGUAGCAACUGGACAGCCACGGUACUCAGAUGGAUACACCAUUGUCCCACCAAAUGAAUCUAAGCGAAACAAGAUGAAAACAAGUAACUAUGACACCAAUUUGAUCUUCAUUUAUUUGACAUUUCUCUCCAAAUGAAUGAAAUGAGAGGUCUGUUGUUGUUGCUGCAGUUGCUCAAAAA